CAAAUUGUUAUCGUGCUUACCGUCGUCUUCCUGUGUAAUAGAGAUAGCGCAAUGAGAUAUGCCUAUAUGUCUUUAGAGAAUUUUUUGUAAGACAGGGAUCAGGUACAUUUGGAUUCAGCGCAUGGCAACACUGCGGUAAUUGUCUCAUGUUGAAAGAUGACAAGCGUUUUCCGCAUUUUCAAAAGCCCGAGAUGAUUGGGAUAUAGGAUGUGGUUGCACUGUUGUUACAUGUAAAUUGUUGUUCGUAGUUUCUGUAGUACAUCGUUGCGCUACGGAGACAGCCUUGAAAAUCCACAGGGAUGGUUUGCAUUCCCUGUAUUGUAGUACCCUUCUUCUUAUUUAUAUGGUACCGCUUCAUUCAGCCAGUUGUCUUGCAAUACUGGAAUCCAUGGAGGCAAGUGCAGAGCUCUAGUACUUCUAUUGCAGAUUCUGGGCAGCUUGGCAGUGAAUCACAAGGAGGGAAACUGGAAAAUGGUGACACAAAAACUUCUAUAUCCUCAGCCAAAUGCAAUGAAAACAUUGUGAAGGAGAAGUCUCUGUAAAGCAUUUAUAUUGGUUAUUCUUCCUAGCAUUCCAUUGUUAUUUGUUAUGUUAAAAAAAUUCUAUAUAGUGUAAUAUUUAUUUUGAAAUGUAAGCACCAAUAAAAAAUAUUAUCAAUUAA